AGUGAGCCGACCCGCGGCCGGCCGCGCGCCGCUGAGCCUCAGGGGUCGGGGGCACGGCCGGGGCAUCCACCUUGCCCCCACUUGGGACUCUUCCCAGGCCUUUGUGCCCCGGAUCCGCCAGGACGCAGCGUCAGGGAUGCCCCUCAGGGGUGGGGGACACCAAGGGCGGGGACGCCUGCGAGGUGAAGGGCUGGAUGCACAGUGGGAGCCGGAGGCGGGGGGCUGCAGGGAGCACACCAGCGACCGGCCCUCCAACCCUCCAGCCACUCAGCAACAUCGCCACAGCAACCAGCAACCAGACGGCAGCAGCCGAGGCAAACACAAGCGGACGGCUUCCCACCGUCGCCGAGGACAGGGAAUGACUACGGCAAAUCAGGCCACUUUGCCAACUAGGGAGGUGGAGUGUCACUAGUGGGGAGGGGCGGCCACCGCCCGCUGCACAGAGCGCCAUGCCGGCUGGAGAAGAGGCGCUGGGGCAGGGGCUGCAGUGUGGCUCGGCCUCACCCCCCUGCUGGCACUGAGUGCCUCCAGGGCAGCUGGGCUCUUGUCUGCCUGGUCUCAGUGUCCCCUGUGGCAAGAGGGAGAGGUGCCCCAUCCCGUGCUCCUUGUCUGGGCCCGCUGCUGCCAGACCAUGGGAUGUCGGCAAAGCUCA
rnacentral:sRNA from 1 species